UACGAAGGGGGCUAGCGUUGCUCGGAAUCACUGGGCGUAAAGCGCACGUAGGCGGAUUGUUAAGUCAGGGGUGAAAUCCUGGAGCUCAACUCCAGAACUGCCUUUGAUACUGGCGAUCUUGAGUCCGGGAGAGGUGAGUGGAACUGCGAGUGUAGCGGUGAAAUGCGUAGAUAUUGGGAGGAACACCAGUGGCGAAGGCGGCUCACUGGACCGGUACUGACGCUGAUGCGCGAAAGCGUGGGGAGCAAACAGG
rnacentral:rRNA from 1 species